CUUGAUUCUCAUAAUAAGACUAUCCUACCUCCAAACAAGGUUAUCUGAAGAUAAUCAUUCUCCCUUCUUAAAAAGAAUAACCACCUUCAAUUUAAAGAUCAGUGCUUGCAUAAAAUCGUAGUUGGAGAGUAACUUCACUUUUAACAAAUUUUAUAUUUUAGUUUUCAAAUAAUUCACUUGUUCCAGAAGGCCUCUUCCCACAUGUAACGGACUGACAAUUUACUUUUCCAAUAAUUCACUUGUUCCAAGAAUUAACUGUCUCAAGUUCAGCAUGAUUGUCUCUCUCUGAUCCACACAGCAAGGCCCUAACACAUUUUGUACCAAAUAGUCUACCGACUAAGCUUUCAUCCUCACCUGCAAUGUUCAAUAGAGAAUAAUAAGGUUCAGCAAGGCCAUAUAGAAAGAUUUGGCCUUCUACAAAGCUUGAAUUAUGGGAAACAUAUCUGAAGAAAUUCACAAGAGAGUAAGGUCAACAAAGGAAAUUCACAAGAGAGUAAGCCC
rnacentral:lncRNA from 1 species